UACGUAGGGGGCUAGCGUUGUCCGGAAUCAUUGGGCGUAAAGCGCGUGUAGGCGGUUCGGUAAGUCCGCUGUGAAAGUCGGGGGCUCAACCCUCGGAUGCCGGUGGAUACUGUCGGACUAGAGUACGGAAGAGGCGAGUGGAAUUCCUGGUGUAGCGGUGAAAUGCGCAGAUAUCAGGAGGAACACCAAUUGCGAAGGCAGCUCGCUGGAACGUAACUGACGCUGAGACGCGAAAGCGUGGGGAGCAAACAGG
rnacentral:rRNA from 1 species